CCCACAUGAUCCGGAGCAGGCGUGACUUCCCUCUUUCUCUCUCCACUUCAGGGAAGCUGGCCUCACAAGGACCUCCAGGCCCCAUGGGCCCAAAAGGAGAGGCUGGCAUCCGGGGCCCCUCAGGGAUUCCUGGGGUCAAAGGUCCUGCCGGACCACAAGGUCCUCCUGGCCCCCCGGGUCCUCCCGGAAGAGAUGGCGCAAGAGGGUUACCUGGGGAGAAGGGCCCCCCUGGACCACCGGGGCCUCCAGGCCCACCGGCCCCAGUGGGACCAAAGGUGGCACCGAUCCCCGAUCAGGGGGACCCCCUCCUGUCCAACACCUUCACUGAAACGGGCCUCACCGGGCCUGCUGGACCUCCUGGGCUCCCCGGACUGACCGGUACGUCUCUUCUUUAGC
rnacentral:lncRNA from 1 species